UGGGGAAUCUUGCGCAAUGGCCGAAAGGCUGACGCAGCGACGCCGCGUGUGGGAGGACGCCCUUCGGGGUGUAAACCACUGUUGCCCGGGACGAACAGCGCUUUUCGAGGCGCCUGACGGUACCGGGUGAGGAAGCACCGGCUAACUCCGUGCCAGCAGCCGCGGUAAUACGGAGGGUGCGAGCGUUGUCCGGAAUCACUGGGCGUAAAGGGCGCGUAGGCGGCGCGAGAAGUCAACGGUGAAAGCCCGGGGCUCAACCCCGGGUCGGCCGUCGAUACUCUUGUGCUGGAGCACUGUAGAGGCAGGUGGAAUUCCGGGUGUAGCGGUGGAAUGCGUAGAGAUCCGGAAGAACACCGGUGGCGAAGGCGGCCUGCUGGGCAGUAGCUGACGCUGAGGCGCGACAGCGUGGGGAGCAAACAGG
rnacentral:rRNA from 1 species